AAAAAAUAAAAAAAACUUUCAAAAACAGCUCUCCCCCCUCUCCAGACGUCCGACCUAGGUCCGAUCAUCGGCCACCGACCGGUCGCCGAUCGCCGACGCCGGCACCACCAUACGCGGUGGCCGGAAGAGAGGGAAAGUCCCUAAUCUGGUCCUUUCGACCUUCUAAACCCAAAUCCGGGUUCCAAAUCCCCAAAAUCGAACCAAAAAUGCUAAGGAAAUCAAGAAACCCUUCGGUUCCCGACCAUCUAUCCUCGGAGACGACUGCUUUGGCCGUUCCAACGGCGUUUCAAAGAUGAACCAAAGUAAGUUCUUUACUCCUUGCUUUAUUGUACUCUAGUGAAGUAAAAAAAUAAAAAUAAAAAUAAAAGAAAAUAUCGAAUAAAACGAUGCUAAAAUAUCAACCUUUCGAUUUUUUUUAUUUAUGUUUGCUCUUUGGUGCCCUUUUUGCUGUAAAAUGAUAGUUUUUUCUUGUAUUGAUUUUCGAAUCCCCUUCUUACAGUAUGUUAAGAUUGCUUUUAUAGCAAUCGUAAAAAGAAUACAAAGAAAUCUUCUAGUAUCUGUUUGAUUUGAUUCCGAAAUCUUUGAUUUUCUUGCCAUAUCUGCUUUGCUUCUUUCCUUGUUGUGCAGGUACGAUAGGGGAUGCGGCUAGUGCAGGGACUUCGACUGCGGUGCGAAUGUGGAAAACUGCCUAGGGUUUCCCUUGUGUUGGAAACGCUGGGCCUCUAUCUUGUUUUAGGUCCGGGCCAUAUAGGCCAACUGUAAUUUGGGCCCUUGUUUUAAAAUGGGCCAUGUAUUCUGGGCCGUUUUAUUUACUUCAUGUAGGCCGGGUAAAAUUUAGGUAUUACAGACAUUUUGCUCAACUUUUUUGCGGCGUUUU
rnacentral:lncRNA from 1 species